rnacentral:rRNA from 1 species
AUUGAACGCUGGCGGCAGGCUUAACACAUGCAAGUCGAGCGGGGAAGGUUGCUUCGGUAACUGACCUAGCGGCGGACGGGUGAGUAAUGCUUAGGAAUCUGCCUAUUAGUGGGGGACAACAUUCCGAAAGGGAUGCUAAUACCGCAUACGCCCUACGGGGGAAAGCAGGGGAUCUUCGGACCUUGCGCUAAUAGAUGAGCCUAAGUCGGAUUAGCUAGUUGGUGGGGUAAAGGCCUACCAAGGCGACGAUCUGUAGCGGGUCUGAGAGGAUGAUCCGCCACACUGGGACUGAGACACGGCCCAGACUCCUACGGGAGGCAGCAGUGGGGAAUAUUGGACAAUGGGCGGAAGCCUGAUCCAGCCAUGCCGCAUGUGUGAAGAAGGCCUUUUGGUUGUAAAGCACUUUAAGCGAGGAGGAGGCUCUUAAGGUUAAUACCCUUGAUGAGUGGACGUUACUCGCAGAAUAAGCACCGGCUAACUCUGUGCCAGCCGCCGCCGUAACAC